GGAAAACACACCUUGGGUUAGAGGAAAAGGGAUGGCUGGGAGAGUUAACACUUAAAUAAAAUAACAGGAUAGACAACACUUUGGGCCUUGGGAAAGGAAAUCACAUUUCCAUGUCAAAUUGAGCUGAGGAAUUUGCUAUUUACAACAUGGGAACCAAUUCCUUUAAAAAUAGAAGAUACUGACAUCACAUUAGGUUAGGUUUGGUAAGACACACAAGCUGCACAUAACAUGCACAGCACAUACACAAUGUAGC
rnacentral:lncRNA from 1 species